GGGGGGAAACGGCCCUAAACAUGUCAAGUCGAACGGGGGCACAGAUAGCUUGCUCUCGGGUGACGAGUGGCGGACGGCUGACUAAAGAAUGGGAAACUGCCUGAUGGAGGGGGAUAACUACUGUUAAACGGUAGCUAAUACCGCAUAACGUCGCAAGACCAAAGAGGGGGACCUUCGGGCCUCUUGCCAUCAGAUGUGCCCAGAUGGGAUUAGCUAGUAGGUGGGGUAACGGCUCACCUAGGCGACGAUCCCUAGCUGGUCUGAGAGGAUGACCAGCCACACUGGAACUGAACACGGUCCAAACUCCUACGGGAGGCAGCAGUGGGGAAUAUUGCACAAUGGGCGCAAGCCUGAUGCACCAUGCCGCGUGUAUGAAAAAGGGCCUUCGGGUUGUAAAGUACUUUCACCGGGGGAGGAAGGGUGUUGGUGUUUAAUAACCACAAGCAAUUGACGUUCCCCGCAAAAAAAAACCCCCGGUUAA
rnacentral:rRNA from 2 species